UACGUAGGGUGCGAGCGUUGCCCGGAUUUAUUGGGCGUAAAGAGCUCGUAGGUGGCUUGUUGCGUCUGCCGUGAAAGCCCGUGGCUUAACUACGGGUCUGCGGUGGAUACGGGCAGGCUAGAGGCUGGUAGGGGCAAGCGGAAUUCCUGGUGUAGCGGUGAAAUGCGCAGAUAUCGGGAGGAACACCGGUGGCGAAGGCGGCUUGCUGGGCCAGUUCUGACGCUGAGGAGCGAAAGCGUGGGGAGCGAACAGG
rnacentral:rRNA from 1 species